rnacentral:misc_RNA from 1 species
GUGAAUCAUCGAAUUUUUGAACGCAAAUUGCGCUUCCUGGCAUCCCGGGAAGUAUGCCUGUUUGAGGGUCAGUAUUAAUAAAAAUCGGUGUGUUGCUUCUUUGUGACGCUCCGGGGUUUGGGUCAUCUUAAGAUCCUUUAGGGUUUAAGAGGCGGAAAAUUGACUUUUUUUGCGCACUUUAGAUGUACAUAAAUUCUUUUGGUUAUUCGUCUGUCGUAAUGCUGAAAAUCCUAUUAGAUGCGACCAGAUCGUGUGUUUUCGUGUCUAUAAAGUUUUCAUGAUUUGACCUCAAAUCAGGUAG